UACAGAGGGAGCGAGCGUUGUUCGGAAUUAUUGGGCGUAAAGGGCGCGUAGGCGGUGCGGUAAGUCACCUGUGAAAUCUCCUGGCUCAACUGGGAGCUUGCAGGCGAAACUGCCGUGCUGGAGUGUGGGAGAGGUGCGUGGAAUUCCUGGUGUAGCGGUGAAAUGCGUAGAUAUCAGGAGGAACACCUGUGGCGAAAGCGGCGCACUGGACCGCAACUGACGCUGAGGCGCGAAAGCUAGGGGAGCAAACAGG
rnacentral:rRNA from 1 species